rnacentral:rRNA from 1 species
GUCGAAUUAAUGCCUGAUGUUUUCCACGGACGGCAUCUGAUGUGGAACAAAGAUUCAUCGCUAUGGGAUGGGGAUGCGUCUGAUUAGCUUGUUGGCGGGGUAACGGCCCACCAAGGCAACGAUCAGUAGGGGUUCUGAGAGGAAGGUCCCCCACAUUGGAACUGAGACACGGUCCAAACUCCUACGGGAGGCAGCAGUGAGGAAUAUUGGUCAAUGGGCGGAAGCCUGAACCAGCCAAGUAGCGUGAGGGAUGACUGCCCUAUGGGUUGUAAACCUCUUUUAUAAGGGAAUAAAAUACGGGACGUGUCCUGUUUUGCAUGUACCUUAUGAAUAAGGACCGGCUAAUUCCGUG